GUAGAACGCUGAAGGAGGAGCUUGCUCUUCUGGAUGAGUUGCGAACGGGUGAGUAACGCGUAGGUAACCUGCCUGGUAGCGGGGGAUAACUAUUGGAAGCGAUAGCUAAUACCGCAUAAGAGUAGAUGUUGCAUGACAUUUGCUUAAAAGGUGCAAUUGCACCACUACCAGAUGGACCUGCGUUGUAUUAGCUAGUUGGUGGGGUAACGGCUCACCAAGGCGACGAUACAUAGCCGACCUGAGAGGGUGAUCGGCCACACUGGGACUGAGACACGGCCCAGACUCCUACGGGAGGCAGCAGUAGGGAAUCUUCGGCAAUGGACGGAAGUCUGACCGAGCAACGCCGCGUGAGUGAAGAAGGUUUUCGGAUCGUAAAGCUCUGUUGUAAGAGAAGAACGAGUGUGAGAGUGGAAAGUUCACACUGUGACGGUAUCUUACCAGAAAGGGACGGCUAACUACGUGCCAGCAGCCGCGGUAAUACGUAGGUCCCGAGCGUUGUCCGGA
rnacentral:rRNA from 1 species